AUGAAGACCAACUGGAUCGUCCUCAUCAACCAAUCCGCAGACGCAAAUGCGCUGGCCUUCAAGAUUCCAGGACCUGGAAUCAUACCAGCCGAUGGCACGACCCUCUUUUGUUGGAUAUUAUGUAAUGUUGUUAGUUUGAAGCACUCCUCUGUUAAAACAGUCGAUUGUUCAUACAUUGAGUACCAUAUAACUGGAAUUAACCGAUGCAAGUCGAAGAAGGAUUGGCCGGUGCUGCCGACUGGCAUCAAGUUCGAUCCCACGGAUCAGGAGCUGAUCGAGCACCUUGAGGCCAAAGUGAGUGCUGACAGCGCGAGAUCUCACCCUCUCAUCGAUUUGUUCAUACCAACCAUCGACAACGAGCACGGCAUAUGCUACACCCAUCGUGAGAAACUUCCAGGUAUCACACUGAGUGGCCUAAGCAAGCAUUUCUUCCAGCGCAAAUCCAGGGCGUUCAAAAGGGGCACGUGGACGCGUCACAAGAUACAGUCGGAGUGCGGCAUGCACGCGAUGUGGCACAACACCGGUAACACCUUGCCGGUGAUGGUCAACGGCCGGCAGACGGGCAGCAAAAAGUUCUGGUGCUGCACACCAACAAGAACUUCGACCAGCAGAGGACCAACUGGGUGA
rnacentral:rRNA from 1 species